CCUACGGGUGGCAGCAGUGGGGGAUAUUGCACAAUGGGGGGAACCCUGAUGCAGCGACGCCGCGUGGGUGAAGAAGCGCCUCGGCGCGUAAAGCCCUGUCAGCAGGGAAGAAAAUGACGGUACCUGAAGAAGAAGCCCCGGCUAACUACGUGCCAGCAGCCGCGGUAAUACGUAGGGGGCAAGCGUUAUCCGGAUUUACUGGGUGUAAAGGGAGCGUAGACGGCAGCGCAAGUCUGGAGUGAAAUCCCAUGGCUUAACCAUGGAACUGUUGUGGAAACUGGGCAGCUAGAGUGCAGGAGAGGUAAGCGGAAUUCCUAGUGUAGCGGUGAAAUGCGUAGAUAUUAGGAGGAACACCAGUGGCGAAGGCGGCUUACGGGACUGUAACUGACGUUGAGGCUCGAAAGCGGGGGGAGCAAACAGGAUUAGAUACCCCAGUAGUC
rnacentral:rRNA from 1 species